UCCUCCGCACUGCCUCCUCCUAAAUCCCCAUCGCCGCCACCCACCACCUUUUCUCCUCCCUUAUCCCACAGCUCCUCGUCGGUCAUCCCCCUCCCCUCCUCUCACCUUGCCUCACAGCUUCGGCAGCUGUCAGAUCUGCCGAACCCCACCCAUCCAUCUCUCUCUCCCUCUCUCAUGCGGCCCCUCAUGCCGUGACCAACGCCCGCCGAUUCCGAUGACAUCCGCUAUCGCUCAUCACGCCGACGAGCUGGAAUCCGACCCCUCCGUCCUCCAGUCCGGGCCGAUACGCUGCUCCCAGUCUCCCGCAUUCGUGCACGACCCCUAGCCCGUGGCUAGGGUUUCUUUGGCGGCGACGCAUCCAUUGCUGGCGCUUCUCCGACGGCUGCUCUCCGUCGCAACCCGCGCCCCCUCGCUCCCUCUCCACCUCCUGGAUGACGCCCCCUAGCUCGGUGCAUUGGCGCAUUUUGGGAUGGACGGCGGCGACCCCAACCUCCCCUGCCACGUCUCCGCCACUGCCGUGCAUCCUGUGGCAACCCCCUCGGCCGCGCGACAGCGGUGGCCGAUCUGCACUGCGACCACUGGAUAGCCUACGAACCUGUGCACUUCUGAAAUCAGGGGAAAAUAAUGGGUGAAAGUAAUGAACUGGACCAAUUUUCAUACUGCUAGUAGAAUAUCUUCAAGUUGCAGAAAGGGCAGCAAACUUUAUAAAGGAAAAACCUCUCCGGUUUCCUUUGGUGAGAGCCGCAAAGGAAGUUUGAGCUGUAGUGGUGAAGUUGAUGAUUAAGAGGGUCUGUACAACAUUGUAUAUUUGUUGAUAAUCUGUUGUAAUUGUUAUUGGGAGCAUGUGAGAUAAUGUUGGAUGUGUUCUUGUGCACAUUUUAAAAAGCAUUUCCUCAGUGAAACAAUUGAAUAGAAAUAUGUGAAUUGGGC